UCCUGAUCCUUUUUCGAGGAAAUCUCGUUUGUGUGUUCGGUUUACAUUAGGUGGCUUAGGAGGGCAGUUGUAGUAACAGGUGGGCUAGACCAGUCCACUUAUCCUUUGCUCUCGUAUGUGGGUUGUGGUCUCGUACCUGGUGGGGAAUGAAAUCAUCCGAGGGAGAGAAGGGGAUACAGAGAGGCGGCGGCGCCGAUGUGGUGGCCAUCGGCUGUAUCGUCCGCGGAAGGGGCCACCACCGGCGACAAGGUCAUCGGAAAGGUCUGCCAGAUGGCCUGCAAGGCUGCCAGCAAGGUCCGCAAUACCGCCGGCAAGUUCUGCAAGGUCACAUGCAAGGCCGAUGGCAACGUCUGCAGGUCGCCGGGCCUGGCUGUGCGUUUGCGUCUAGAAGCCAUACGCGACUCGGUGGAUUCCGUAGAGUGAUGCAAACCCAGGAAUGAGUGGGUGGCUGUGGCUUCUACAUAUGGCGUGAUGCUCUCUAAGGAUGCAGGUGGACGCGUCCGCGGAGUCCGCUGCGCGUGCCGUACGAGCCGCCUAAGCUAAUUUACUUGUCCGUGGAUUCCGCCUAACCACAUGCACCUGCCCGCUGUGUCCGCUGGACAAUACGGACAUGCCCACCGUACAUUAGCUAGCUUACGCAUUGUCGCAGCUUCUUUGAUUCACUGCACAGUGCACACUAGCUAGCAGACCUAUCUUAUAUAUACACGAAAUAAUUCACACAAUAUAUACUUCA